UGGCUCAGUCGGUAGAGCGUGUGACUCUCAAUCUCAGGGUUGUAGGUUCGAGCCCCAC
rnacentral:tRNA from 1 species